rnacentral:lncRNA from 1 species
CAGACUUGACCAAGGGAUGCCAAUAAACACUAGACUUUGAGAAAGAGGCCCAAGCUGGCAGUGAACUGUGUACUAGAGUAAUUUUGUGAGGAUUACUCUUCUGGGGAUACAUUUAAUAAACAUUUCAACAAGAAGACCUUAAUUGACUCAUGUUCGAUGCGUGUUUGAAUUUUUAUAUGGUGUAACGUUCCAUCUAAAAAAUGGAAAUGCUACGUUGUUUUAUAGAUGCAAUGUAAU